GCCCGGAUGACAUUAUGAGAAACUGAGGAAAAAUAAUGAGUGAUUUGUUUAAAAAAAAAGAGAACUUUUCAAUGACGGUCUGCCAUAAGUGGAUUACAAAAAAAACCUGUAUGUGGAAUCAGGACGCAACCAAAUUCAGGAAAUGAAAGCAUGAGGGUCAAAUGGACAGAUUGUGUGUUUGGGGAACAGAGUUUUGGGAGGAUUGUCAACAAAUGAAGAAAGGCAUCGUGAAAUGGAGGACAGUUUGAGGAAGAAAGAAAAAAAGCAAAGAGAGGAGGAAGGGAGCUGAACGCUUCUCAGUGUAAGAAUUGCUGAGCUUCUGAACUGCCCCUUUUCUAAAGCUCCCCAACCGCAAAACCUGUCCAGAGGCAACCCCCAGGGUCACCGCAGGAUUAGAGAUGGCGAAAGAGAGAAAACGAGAGAUGAAAGGAGUGCUUCACUAAACCAACUUGAAGAAAACAUUGUAACGCUCAUCUCUCCAUUACUAAUUUUAACCCCCAACGUAGGUGCAAUAAACUGACAAUAUCACGUCCUGGGAGGAUGUGGAACACAGGGAUCGCUGGCCUUGGAAUACGGGUGGAAUUCAGCAUACAAACUGUAGUAUGUCCUGGCUCGACCUGAUGGAAAUGGAUGCAAUUUUAAAGUGAUGUGAACUAUUUUUGUGGGGUGCUCCACCAUGAUAAUUGCACCUGAAAGUGGACAAAAAACCCUCGAUCCAGUCUCAGAUACACAUAAUGUGUGGAAAAACACCCAUCAUGCCCUUCAACGCUAUGCAAUUCAAACGCUUCAAUCGAACAGUUUAUCAGCCAAACCUUUUCCGCUCCUUUACCUUUUGGAAAUCUUGCACGUGCUUUAAAUGAAAAUAGACAGCGGCGCCAUCGGCCUGCCAUUUUCCUAUAUCAUACUGUUUCCCCAUUCAUCCAAUUGGAAAUCUCUGUUCAGAGUGUCCUUCUCAGGGCUCACAGAAAGGUGACUUUGUCCACUAUGAAGAAAAGAGCGUUAGCCUCUCUCUUUUCUCUCUCUCUUAGUUCAGCUCUCUGCAUCUCAGCGUUUCUGUUCCCCUGUAGAUGAACUGCAUGGCAUGAAUGAAAAAAAAGAGAGAAA